rnacentral:sRNA from 1 species
GCCAGGUGUGGUGGUGCACACCUGUAAUCCCAGCAUCUUGGGAGCCUGAGGCAGGAGGAUUGCAAGUUCAAACCCAGCCUCAGCAAAAGCGAGGUGCUAAGCAACUCAGUGAGACCCUGUCUCUA